rnacentral:rRNA from 1 species
UGGGGAAUUUUGGACAAUGGGCGCAAGCCUGAUCCAGCAAUGCCGCGUGCAGGAUGAAGGCCUUCGGGUUGUAAACUGCUUUUGUACGGAGCGAAAAGGCUCUCUCUAAUAAAGGGGGCUCAUGACGGUACCGUAAGAAUAAGCACCGGCUAACUACGUGCCAGCAGCCGCGGUAAUACGUAGGGUGCGAGCGUUAAUCGGAAUUACUGGGCGUAAAGCGUGCGCAGGCGGUUAUACAAGACAGGCGUGAAAUCCCCGGGCUUAACCUGGGAAUGGCGCCUGUGACUGUAUAGCUAGAGUGUGUCAGAGGGGGGUAGAAUUCCACGUGUAGCAGUGAAAUGCGUAGAUAUGCGGAGGAACACCGAUGGCGAAGGCAAUCCCCUGGGCCUGUACUGACGCUCAUGCACGAAAGCGUGGGGAGCAAACAGG